rnacentral:rRNA from 1 species
ACUCCUACGGGAGGCAGCAGUGGGGAAUAUUGCACAAUGGGCGCAAGCCUGAUGCAGCCAUGCCGCGUGUAUGAAGAAGGCCUUCGGGUUGUAAAGUACUUUCAGCAGUGAGGAAGGUGGUAGUGUUAAUAGCACUAUCAUUUGACGUUAGCUGCAGAAGAAGCACCGGCUAACUCCGUGCCAGCAGCCGCGGUAAUACGGAGGGUGCGAGCGUUAAUCGGAAUUACUGGGCGUAAAGCGCAUGCAGGUGGUUUGUUAAGUCAGAUGUGAAAGCCCGGGGCUCAACCUCGGAAUUGCAUUUGAAACUGGCAGACUAGAGUACUGUAGAGGGGGGUAGAAUUUCAGGUGUAGCGGUGAAAUGCGUAGAGAUCUGAAGGAAUACCGGUGGCGAAGGCGGCCCCCUGGACAGAUACUGACACUCAGAUGCGAAAGCGUGGGGAGCAAAACAGGAUUAGAUACCCUGGUAGGAUAGCG